rnacentral:rRNA from 1 species
GAUCAAGCAUUUAAGUGCAUGUGGUGGAUGCCUUGGCGAUUACAGGCGAUGAAGGACGUGGAAGUCUGCGAUAAGCUUCGGGGAGUUGACAACAAACGUUAUAUCCGAAGAUUUCCGAAUGGGGAAACCCGACUAUUGCUUAUUUGGCUAACUAAUUAGUCAAAUAAGCAAUAGUCAGCAUUAAUUGAAUAUAUAGAUUAAUAGCGGCAAACCUGAUGAACUGAAACAUCUAAGUAGUCAGAGGAAAAGAAAUCAACCGAGAUUCCCAAAGUAGUGGCGAGCGAAAUGGGAGUAGCUUUCAAUUAAUAAUAUGAUAAUUAGCUGAAUCUUUUGGAAAAUUGAACCAUAGAAAGUGAUAGUCUUGUAAGCGAAAAUUAUUAUAUCGAACUAAAAUUGAGAUAAGUAGGGCGGAACACGAGAAAUUCUGUCUGAAUAUAGGGGGACCAUCCUCUAAAGCUAAAUACUCGUAAUCGACCGAUAGUGUACAAGUACCGUGAGGGAAAGGUGAAAAGAACCCCGGGAGGGGAGUGAAAUAGAAUCUGAAACCGCAUGCAUACAAACAGUGGGAGCCCCUGCCUAAAAUAUUUUAUCUGAAUAAUUGAUAGAGUAAUUUAGGCAGGGGUGACUGCGUACCUUUUGUAUAAUGGGUCAGCGACUUACAUUCAGUAGCAAGCUUAACUGAUUAAGGUAGGCGUAGCGAAAGCGAGUCUUAAUAGGGCGAAAGUUGCUGGGUGUAGACCCGAAACCAGAUGAUCUACUCAUGGCCAGGAUGAAGCGAAGGUAACACUUCUUGGAGGUCCGAACCCACUAAUGUUGAAAAAUUAGGGGAUGAGCUGUGGGUAGGGGUGAAAGGCUAAACAAAUCUGGAGAUAGCUGGUUCUCUCCGAAAACUAUUUAGGUAGUGCCUCAUAUAUCGCCUUUAGGGGUAGAGCACUGUUAUGGCUAGGGGAUCGACUAGAUUUACCAAACCAUUGCAAACUUCAAAUACUAAAGAGCGUAAGUAUGGGAGACAGACAUUGGGUGCUAACGUCCAGUGUCAAAAGGGAAACAACCCAGACCCUCAGCUAAGGUCCCAAAGAUAUAAUUAAGUGGUAAACGAGGUGGAAAGGCAUAAACAGUCAGGAGAUUGGCUUAGAAGCAGCCAUUCUUUAAAGAAAGCGUAAUAGCUCACUGAUCGAGUUUUUCUGCGCGGAAGAUGUAACGGGGCUAAAUUAUACACCGAAGCUAGGGAUUCAUAUUUUUAUGAAUGGUAGGAGAGCGUUCCGUAAGCCUGCGAAGAUGAUCUGAGAAGAUUGUUGGAGGUAUCGGAAGUGCGAAUGCUGACAUGAGUAGCGAUAAAGGAAGUGAAAAACUUCCUCGCCGAAAACCCAAGGUUUCCUGCUCAACGUUAAUCGGAGCAGGGUGAGUCGGCCCCUAAGGCGAGGCAAAUUGCGUAGCUGAUGGGAAACUGGUUAAAAUUCCAGUACCUUUGUUUAAUGCGAUGUGGGGACGAAGAAGGUUAGCUCAGCCAGGUGUUGGAAGUCCUGGUUAAAGCGUGUAGACAUGCUAUUUAGGAAAAUCCGGAUAGAUAAGUUGAGGCGUGAUAACGAAGCGCAUUUAUUUGCGUCAAGUGAGUAAUACCAAGCUUCCAAGAAAAGCCACUAAGCUAUAGUUAAAUAAAGACCGUACCGAAAACCGACACAGGUGGGUAGGAUGAGAAUCCCAAGGCGCUUGAGAGAACCCAGUCUAAGGAACUCUGCAAAUUGGCACCGUAACUUCGGGAGAAGGUGUGCCUUUAGUAAGUAGAUAACUUCGCGUUAAAAGCUGAAUAAGGUUGCAAAAAAUAGGUGGCUGCGACUGUUUAAUAAAAACACAGCACUCUGCAAACACGUAAGUGGACGUAUAGAGUGUGACGCCUGCCCGGUGCCGGAAGGUUAAAUGAUGAAGUGCAAGCUUUUGAUUGAAGCCCCGGUAAACGGCGGCCGUAACUAUAACGGUCCUAAGGUAGCGAAAUUCCUUGUCGGGUAAGUUCCGACCUGCACGAAUGGCGUAACGAUGGCCAUACUGUCUCCUCCUGAGACUCAGCGAAGUUGAAAUGUUUGUGAAGAUGCAAUCUACCCGCGGCUAGACGGAAAGACCCCGUGCACCUUUACUGUAGCUUUACAUUGGGUUUUGGCAAUAUUUGUGUAGGAUAGGUGGGAGACUAUGAAGUAAUCUCGCUAGAGAUUAUGGAGUCGACGUUGAAAUACCACUCUAAUAUUUCUAGAAUUCUAACCUUGGUCCAUUAUCUGGAUCGGGGACCGUGUAUGGUAGGCAGUUUGACUCACGGUCGGAAAUCGUGCUUUAAAGUGCAAUGGCAUAAGCGUGCUUGACUGCGAGACUGACAAGUCGAGCAGGUGCGAAAGCAGGUCAUAGUGAUCCGGUGGUUCUGUAUGGAAGGGCCAUCGCUCAACGGAUAAAAGGUACGCCGGGGAUAACAGGCUGAUUCCUCCCAAGAGUUCAUAUCGACGGGGGAGUUUGGCACCUCGAUGUCGGCUCAUCACAUCCUGGGGCUGUAGCCGGUCCCAAGGGUAUGGCUGUUCGCCAUUUAAAGUGGUACGUGAGCUGGGUUUAAAACGUCGUGAGACAGUUUGGUCCCUAUCUGCCGUGGGCGUUGGAAAUUUGAAUGGGGCUGUUCCUAGUACGAGAGGACCGGAAUGGACAUACCUCUGGUGUACCGGUUAUGACGCCAGUCGUACAGCCGGGUAGCUAAGUAUGGAAAAGAUAACCGCUGAAAGCAUCUAAGCGGGAAACUUGCCAUAAGAUAAGAUUUCCCUGGGAUAUAUUCCCCUGAAGGCUCGUUGUAGACUACAACGUUGAUAGGUCGAGUGUGUAAGCGCAGUAAUGUGUUUAGCUAAUCGAUACUAAUUGGCCGUGAGGCUUGAUCCU